UGGGAAUUUUGGACAAUUGGGCGAAAGCCUGAUCCAGCAAUGCCGCGUGUGUGAAGAAGGCCUUCGGGUUGUAAAGCACUUUUGUCCGGAAAGAAAUCCUUGGCUCUAAUACAGUCGGGGGAUACGGUCCGGAAGAAUAAGCACCGGCUAACUACGUGCCAGCAGCCGCGGUAAUACGUAGGGUGCAAGCGUUAAUCGGAAUUACUGGGCGUAAAGCGUGCGCAGGCGGUUUGCUAAGACCGAUGUGAAAUCCCCGGGCUCAACUGGGAACUGCAUUGGUGACUGGCAGGCUAGAGUAUGGCAGAGGGGGGUAGAAUUCCACGUGUAGCAGUGAAAUGCGUAGAGAUGUGGAGGAAUACCGAUGGCGAAGGCAGCCCCCUGGGCCAAUACUGACGCUCAUGCACGAAAGCGUGGGGAGCAAACAGGAUUAGAUACCCUGGUAGUCCACGCCCUAAACGAUGUCAACUAGUUGUUGGGGAUUCAUUUCCUUAGUAACGUAGCUAACGCGUGAAGUUGACCGCCUGGGGAGUACGGUCGCAAGAUUAAAACUCAAA
rnacentral:rRNA from 1 species